ACAGCUUCUUAGCCUUUUGGCUAAGAUCAAAGUGUAGUCUCUGUUCUUAUCAGCUUAAUAUAUGAAGAAAAAAAACUCGUCAACAAACUGAAGCAAAGUUGUCCAUGCUAAAUUAAAUCUCAAAACAAAUUAAGUUCAUUCUCUUUAGUUUGGAUUUAUAGAUUCGAAAGAAAAGAAAUAGAU
rnacentral:snRNA from 1 species